GACGAACGCUGGCGGCGUGCUUAACACAUGCAAGUCGAGCGAGGCCCACCUUUCGGGGUGGUGUCCUAGCGGCGAACGGGUGAGUAACACGUGGGCAACCUGCCCCCGGCUCUGGGAUAACCCCAAGAAAUUGGGGCUAAUACCGGAUAUGACCGCUGGCCGCAUGGCCUGGUGGUGGAAAGAUUUAUCGGCUGGGGAUGGGCCCGCGGCCUACCAGCUUGUUGGGGGGGUAGUGGCCUACCAAGGCGACGACGGGUAGCCGGCCUGAGAGGGUGACCGGCCACACUGGGACUGGGACACGGCCCAGACUCCUACGGGAGGCAGCAGUGGGGAAUAUUGCGCAAUGGGCGGAAGCCUGACGCAGCGACGCCGCGUGGGGGAUGACGGCCUUCGGGUUGUAAACCUCUUUCAGCAGGGACGAAGCCCGCAAGGGUGACGGUACCUGCAGAAGAAGCACCGGCCAACUACGUGCCAGCCGCCGCAGUAAGAC
rnacentral:rRNA from 1 species